UGAUAAAAAUAUUAACGCAACCUUGUGAUCUAUUACGAGAUUGUAGACGAGUUAUCGCAAUUAAAUGCAAAAGAAAAUGUAUUUUCCGCUUUUAUUACUUAAAACAUUAUUCAAUAUGUUACGCAAUUUAUUCUGUUAUCGGCGAGAGCGUCAUUUGUCAUGUCAUCGAUUCGGAACGAGUGAUAGCUGAACGAAAACGGAAAGAGGUUUCGAGGUUGGAGGAUGGAAUGUUCGGGAGAGUUCCAAUACGACUGCGCAUGGAUAUUUCAGCAGCAAAUAAAUACACUGUGCUACCAUCAAAACGAAGUCAAUCCAAAGUAAAAAGGAGAAAAAAGAAAAUGACGAAGGGAGAUUCGAGCGUCGCAGAACACGAAGUUUAAAUGGAGAUUGUUGAGAAUUUACAUAAAUUAAUGUUAACACUGGCGCAAUUGAAAUACAAUCUGCACGAAAUGUCAGCCGCAAAAAAUAGCGUUGAAUGCGUUCGUUUUAAAUAAACAAAGGCCAUACCAUUCA